CAAGUUUCUCCUUGAAAAAGUUUCCCCCUCCCACAGCUCUGCAUUCCUCGGCUCUUCUUUGCAGGGCACAGAAUGGCACCGCUAGAAACGACCUAAUCCGGUGACCUCAUUUAAAGACGAGAACACCAAGGCCUCUCGAGGACACCUUGCCCAAGGUCACAGAGCAGGGUGAAGGUCAACUCAGAUCAGACUGAGAUUCCACCCCUGAAUCCCACGGAGCACUCAGACCUCCUCUUAGGAGUCCAAAUCCCGGAAGAAGGAAUGAGUCCAAGGAACAAUUGGCAAUCAUUUUCAUCUUAAUCAAACACCAAAUUUACAGAUUCCUGGCCCUAAUUUUAUUUUGCUUUGUUCCUUUCAGUUUACUUUUUGUGAUCUAGGUAGGCUAAAGGAACAUCUAUAAUUAGAAACUCUCUGUAUAAUUACUUAUGUAUAUCCAAUAAAUAAAAGGAAU